rnacentral:lncRNA from 10 species
ACUAUCAACACCUCCAAGGGAAAAGGGAGAGGAGUCAGCUCUGAUCGCCUGGCGCACUGUGCAGCAAAUUCAUGUCAGAGCCAGCCUUGGAAUGUCUCCCAAGCUCCCAAGGCUCCUGGUGAGGAGGAAAAGGAGCCUUUCUCCCAGAUGUGAAACUGAUCCUAAGACCCCCUGUAAUUUCCUGCUGAAAAUCUCCACCAAGAAACACAGCCACAGCCACAGUUCUUCCUGGUAAGAAGCCCCCAGGGCCAGGCAACAAGAAAAGUGAGCUCGUUCAGCAGGCUGGGAUGUAAAUAAGCCACAAGAGGCUGUGCCAUUCUGGGUUGCACCUGUGAGCAUCACUCAGCUGAAGCCCCAUCAGCGUUUCCAUGACAAACUCGUAUUUCCGGAUGCCUUUCUUCCAGCUUGAAGAGCCUGCCUCGUGGUUGUGAAAAGUGAAAAAGAAAAUCUAAAAAAGACAAAUGGAGAAGGAACAGCUAGUGAAGUCAGAGGAAGAUUGGAAGACCCUGGUGUCCUGGAAGCAACUGAAGAAAGUGUUUCAAGAAGAAAGGAGUGAUCACAUGACUUAAAAUGCCACCGAUGGGUCAAAUAAGAACAGAGAAUUGACCAUGGAAUCUGUCAACACAGAAGUCAUCAGUGGCCUUGAUAAAUGUAGUUUCACUGCCAUGUGGGGGAAAAAUGAUGUCAUCAGCUGAAAGUGAGAAGCAAGGAGAACUGCGUGCAGGCCUGAAAAGAAAGGAGGCGUGAUGCAGUCAUCUGCCAGAGGGAGUAGGAGAGGCGACUUGCCUGGGGAAAACAGUGUAGGAUUGCUGGGCAGCAAUAUGGCAGCAAUGUGGUCCUCUGAGGAACGGCCACGUGAGGACACAGCAAGAAAGUAGCCAUCUACAAUUCAGGAAGAGUCUUCACCAGAAACCAAAUUGGACAGAAUCUUGGUCUUAGACUACUAGUCUCCAGAGCUGUGAGAAAAAAAAAAUCCAUGCUCAAGCCACCCACUCUAUAGCAUUUCGUUAUGGCAGCCAAGCUGAUGAGUACAAGCAUCAAAGAACUUGCAGACAUAUUUUAAUGUCACUACAAGGCCCCAGGGUUUAUGUGUACAUUCUCCAAGAUUUUGGAAAGAGUUUCUCUCCCUGGGACAAAUGAGCACCACCAGAGAUCAUGUAUGCAGAGCAAGCACUUUUGUGCCCUCACAUUAUCAAAUGGCAGAAAAGAAAUGUCACAAAACCCAAGAAGGGGCCUCAAAGAAACUGUCAGGUACACAAAGCUGAGCAAAACCUCUCUUCUCACUGCCACAAUCCAUUGCGCCUGGCUUUUAAAAUUCUAAUUAAGAGAAAACGAAGACGGUGAACUCACUGAAGGCAAGAACAGAGGCCUGGCUCUAAUUCCACCCACUCCGCACCACCCUCAAGCACUGAACCCAGAGCCUGUACACAGUAGGAGCUAAGUAAAUACUAAUGGAAUUGAGUGGACCCGGCCCAGAGCAGAGGGAGCGGGAAGGGGAGGAGGGAGCUGGAGCCAAGGGCUCCUGCCGCCACCGCCUUCAGGCUGCGGGGAAAGUCGAAGGAAAAGCUUGCCAGACCUCUAACGAGUGCUCCACCGCCAGCAGGCUGCGAUUGCUCAUUGUGUUUGGUUAUAAUUAGCAGCAUAUUCUGCGAUGGCAAAGCAGGCAGCGAGCAGGAGCAGGGCUGGAAACAGGCUGCCACCCUCGCAGCCAUCAGUCCGGGGGCCCUGGGCUGCAGAACUUGGGCUCCUUCACUUCCUGGCCCUGCCUGCCCUGAAUCCACUCUGGGUGUGGGCUGGCAGACCUUGAUCGGUGAUGCUGGGCCAACACCAGACCCCAAAGAGGAACUGUUUACUGUGAUUGCAUGAGAGCAUGGCCUGAAAAAUUGGGCUCACCUGGGUUUAAGACAAAGUUUCAUUUGCAAUGUACAAGCAAUGUGACCGCAGGCAAGUAAGCCUCAGUUUCCCCAUCUAUAAAAUGGGACAGUAAUAAUAGUACUCCUCUUUCUUAUGGUGUGUGGUGAGACUUGAAACGGACAACUCAUCUAAGGCACUUGGCAGAAGGCCUUGUGUGCUGUUGGCACUCGGUGCCUUGCAGCUACUAUUGCAAAAGGGACAGAAGUGGCUUCUACUCUGGCCCUUUCCUCUCCCCUCUCUGCAAUGUUUGUCUCACCCCUGCACAGGUGCUCAGCAGCCUGCAACUCCUUUCUCCACGCCUAUGGAACCAGCUCUCAGGGGAGGGUCUGCCUUAGCAGUGUCAGUUCAGUGUGAACAGAGGGAACUGCAUGACCUUUCCUAGGAGAGUGGCCUCAAAUUUUUUAAACUGUGAUCGACAGGACAAAAUACAUUUUACACAGUGACCAAAGGCACACAUACCUAUCAGUAAAUAAAACAGAAACAUAAGUUUCAUGAAACCACACUCACACAAACCAAGUGCAAUGCAUUCUGAUAUGUUCU